rnacentral:rRNA from 1 species
GAUGAACGCUCGCGGCGUGCCUAAUACAUGCAAGUCGAGCGAACGGACGAGAAGCUUGCUUCUCUGAUGUUAGCGGCGGACGGGUGAGUAACACGUGGAUAACCUACCUAUAAGACUGGGAUAACUUCGGGAAACCGGAGCUACUACCGGAUGAUAUUUUGAACCGCAUGGUUCAAAAGUGAAAGACGGUCUUGCUGUCACUUAUAGAUGGAUCCGCGCUGCAUUAGCUAGUUGGUAAGGUAACGGCUUACCAAGGCAACGAUGCAUAGCCGACCUGAGAGGGUGAUCAGCCACACUGGAACUGAGACACGGUCCAGACUCCUACGGGAGGCAGCAGUAGGGAAUCUUGCGCAAUGGGCGAAAGCCUGACGGAGCAACGCCGCGUGAGUGAUGAAGGUCUUCGGAUCGUAAAGCUCUGUUAUUAGGGAAGAACAUAUGUGUAAGUAACUGUGCACAUCUUGACGGUACCUAAUCAGAAAGCCCCGGCUAACUACGUG